GGGGUUGGUGUAACUGCUGUAUUUGAAGUUGGAGUAGUUGCGUUGUCUGUUGUGGUCAGGGUUUGAGUAGCUGUUGUGCUUGUCACUGGGGUUGAUGUAGCUGCUGUACUUGGAGUAGCUGUGUUGACUGUUGUGGUCAGGGUCUGAGUAGCUGCUGUGCUUGUAGUUGGCAUAGCUGCGUUGUCUGUUGCUUUGCCAUCAGAUCCAGAGACAUUUUUUUCCCUUUGAAGGUGCUGGAUAGUGUUGAGCAGGGCUCUGUAGGCAUAGGCCAAGCCCCAGCACGUUGCCAAAAUUUGUCCCUCUCUGGUAUAACCAGGACGACAGCACACCUCGUUUAAGUGUUUUACUAGUUUUUCCGGAUGUUGCACUUGUUCAGUGGUGAAGUUCCAAAGCACUGGAGGGGCCCACUGGCCUAGGUACUUGCCCAUACUAUCCCACACACCCUGCCACUCAUAACUGUCCAGCCUCAGGGAAAAUCUCCUGGUGGUCCUCCUAUAUCGUCGUCUAACCCUAGACCAGAUUUGAACCUGAUACUGCUGAAUUUUUGACAUUAAACGAAAUAGGAUGUUCCUACGACGGGAUGGCCGUGGGUAAAACACACUCCGUAUGUUUGCCAACAUGCUGAUCCCCAGCACAAUCAGCAGGCAGGUUUCAAGGGUACUCAAAGGCCAUCUAAAACCUUCAGAACUCUCAAUUGCUGUUGCAAAUAGGCUGGUGGGGGAACGGAGGGUGAAAGAGAAUGCUUCCUUCGUAAGUUUACCCCCCGAGGAGAAAAAAAAAGAUAUGCAAUUGCUAAAAUAUUUCAUUAUAUACCUCCCAAUGUAUAGUGGUGAUGGCCACGCUGGAAGCACAAACCAGACCAGUUUCAUGAUCAAUGAGUCUAUUGUAUUACAAGUCAUUACCAUGAAGUACAGUGAAACAAGAACCUUAGCCCAGGCCCCCCAGCCGAUAAACGCUAAAACAGCAAAUAGUGGCUGUAAGUAAGGUACAACAUGCUGAAACUCUGAGAUCAAGCGCAACACGUCUGAGAGCCAAAUAAUCACCAUUGUGACGAGUAGUAACAAUGACUGCUUAUCACAAAUAUGAUUAAACACACUCUGGUCAGAUCUGUCGUUAUCUCAACCUUUCGAGCCCCACGUUGGGCGCCAAAAAGAACUGUCGUGGUUUGAGCCCAGCCGGUAACUCAGAACCACACAGCCGCUCGCUCACUCCCCCCCCCCCCCUUCUUCCUCCCCCCGCUCCCGGAGGGAUGGGGAGGAGAAUGGGAAGAAUGCAACUCCCACGGGUUGAGAUAAGAGCAGUCCCGCAACUAAGGUAUAACACAAAACCACUACUGCUACCACCAAUGAUAAUAACGAUUAGUGAAAUAACAAGGGGAGAGGAUACAAUUGCUCACCACCCGCCGACCGAUACCCAGCCCGACCCGAGCAGCGAUCUGGGCCUUCCGGGUAACUCCCCCCGGUUUAUAUACUGGGCAUGACGUGCUGUGGUAUGGAAUACCCCUUUGGCUAGUUUGGGUCAGGUGUCCUGUCUCUGCUUCCUCCCGGCUUCCCCUCCUCCCUGGCAAAGCAUGAGACUGAGAAAGUCCUUGGUUGGAAUAAACAUUACUUAGCAACAACUAAAAACAUCGGUGUUAUCAGCGUUGUUCCCAGGCUGAAAGUUAAAAAACACAGCACUGCACCAGCUACUAAGCAGGAGAAAAAUGACUGCUAUAGCUGAACCCAGGACACAGUGGAGAAUCAGCAACUUACCAAGUCAUUGGGCCAGAUCCUGCUCAAGCUCUGGGGAAACCCGUUAAUGUCGCUGAUCCUUGCCAAUCCAAGCCAUGGUGGCCUUUGGAAACCUUGAUCUUAUCAAAGGUGUGUAGCGCAGGAAUGACAUUUUUGGGAGACAUACCAGUAGAUCUGGCAUCCCACCUGUUGAAAAAGCCCAGCA
rnacentral:lncRNA from 1 species